UUUUUUACCAGUUUUAAAAGUUAUACUUAAGACAUGAUUGCUUUCUCAUUGUAUUUGUGAUCUAAAGGCUGAGGACCUGCCUUCAAUAAACAGAGAAUUAAAUAUUACUUCCCACCACAUUUUGGUAAAAAAUGGCCAAUGGCUUUUCAAUCCCUUAGGUCAGUGCAAUGCAGCUAAUUAGGCCUAAAAGGUUGAACCUGGCACCACGAACUCACACUCCUGCAAUCAAGCAGCCUUGAUUGAACAGAUGACACUUGUUAUCUGAAGUCUAGCUCAGCCAGUCACACCUUCCUUGUGUGCAUCUAGUGGUAAUCACUUUGAAAUGGAGUUAGUUUUGAAUAUCUAUUAUACAGAUGCUUGAAUAGCUGUCAAUGGUCCUAUAAACUGUAUAGUUUAAAAUAUUGAUUUAUCUGCUCAGGAUACAGCUACACACGUCAAAUACAGCUUUUCCAUUUUCACUAUGAGUUGUGGGACGUGCAUACGGAAGUGCAUACAACCCGAAGUUCUUCACAUUGUCCAGGCUCUUCUUUCAGAAAUCAAUUUUAGACCGGUGUCAGCUGGAUUUCCCAAAAAAUCACUGACUUUGAUUCAGCUUCACAGACAAGAGCAUAGACCACAAAGACAUCAUAUAAAAGGUUUCCUGGGCUGGUUCUCUGGAAGAGCUUGUUUGUCUUUGGGACUUUCAUAAUUAUACAGAUAUGCUGGUUCUGGAAUCGGAGCCAAUCAAGGCAUUCUUUUCUUCAGCAGAAUUUUUUAAAGCGAUUACAUGUGGUGAGUUCU